CAUUAAGAUAGAGGCUGUGUAACUAAUUCCAGUUGAAUUAGGUUAUAUUUUUUCAAGAUGGAGGUCUUCCAUAGCAAUGUUACAAUAUUCUUGGUGUUUUCCUGGAUUGUAGGAAAACAUACUGGUAAAGGACUAAGUGGUGCCCACCCUGGUUAUGUUUGGCUAGAGUGGCAUUUCUGAGGGAGCAAGAAGGGAUGCUUUUUUUGAAUAGACUGAAUCUAAUUUCUUUUCUUUUUCUGUUACUUGGAACGAUAGUUAAGACUGCCUAAAGAUGAGGAUACUACUGUUAUCAAAGCUACAUGCCAAAUAGGAAGACAGAAACAAUCUCAGUAAGAAAGAUAGCUGUAAGACUUGCUCAUCACAUUGCGAGCAUAACCUUCCAGAUGCAAAUGGGCGCAAAACAGAAGCAGAAGCCUGAGCUACUGGCUUAUACCCACUAAUCACCUUGCAUUAUUCAAGUGUUGCCUUAUUGGAGAGGUUGUCCUUGAGGAGAAAAGUUACGUUGUUCCCGGUGAGUUAGCA
rnacentral:lncRNA from 1 species